rnacentral:lncRNA from 1 species
GGCCAGGAGACCGAGGCUGUAGGUGGGAUCCGCAGGGUAAAUGUUGCCGCAGCUUUUUCUCUGCCCCUGCCCUGAUUUCUUUUUUCUCUUUCUCUCCGGGUCCCCAGCCGUGGCCACUCAAUUCCCAGGGGUCCAGUUUUGUAAUUCACAGGAACUGUUUCAUAUCCAGGCAAAAUGUUGCAGAGUUGCAGGCACCCUUAGUUGAAAGGCGUAAUAUUAACAAGUUCUCUGUGUGCCUGCCAGGCGCGGUUUCCAGCGCUCUCUGGGGGUAACACAUUUACUCCUUACAGGAACCCAAGUAUGUAGGUGCUGUUGUUUCCUCAUUUGACAGGCGAGGAGACCCUAGCACUGAAAGGUGGUAAAUGGUUGCUCAAAGUUGCAUGCCUGGUAAGUUGCAAGGCCGGAUUUGAACCCAGGAGGUCUGACUCCAGUUCCCAGGGUCUUAACUAGCACGUGAGACCACAGCCUGCCAGUCUUGGGCCCUUAAGGGACUUAAUGAAGAUGUGAAUUUCCUUCCCUUAAGUUUGGAGGUCCAGUGGACAGGCAUUCCACCUGGGGAGUACCAGUGCAGCCCUGAGCCACUAGAGGAUGUGAACCAGUGGAUUUCGGCCAGGUUCAGGCUUGUGCUCCUGGGAACAUAUGCGUGCUUUUUAUUGGUUGGGUAGAAAGGAGUUGCCAUAGGCCAUUUUUACUAAUGAAAGCAGAAUUCCAACCUGCUUCAUCUUGCAGGAUGCUCUGAUUUUUCAAAGAACUAUUUUGAUGUUCCUUGAUGUCAUGAAUAACUCUACGGAAGGAGUGGGCAUAGAGCAACUGACAUCUGAGCAUCAUUGUUCUAGGACUUUUUUUUUUUUUAAUGUUUAUUUAUUUUUGACACAGAGAGAGAAAGAGAGAGAGCAUGAGCGGGGUGGGGCAGAGAGAGAGGGAGACACAGAAUCUGAAGCAGGCUCCAGGCUCUGAGUUGUUAGCACAGAGCCCAACGUGGGGGUCAAACCCACAAACUGUGGGAUCAUGACCUGAGCCAAAGUCAGACGCUUAACCGACUGAGCCACCCAGGCGCCCCUAGGCCUUUCUGAAGCCUCAAAAUAGUGAAAGACAUGAUGCCUGUCUCAGCUUAAAAUGUAGAAUUAGUGGAAAGAAUUUUUUAUAGAGUGUUUUAAUGCAUGAAAUAUAAAAUGAAUAUUUUAUAUCAUUAAUUUCUUAAUUUAGCAUUCGUGGAUGUUUAAAUGAUAAUGCACAACUGUGUAUUUGAAAGUGGUGUAAUUUCACUUAUUUGUUGCGAUUAGUUUUAGAGAGUAAACUUUGAAUUAGCGCACCAGGACUGGAACAAAGACAGGCCAGCCCCUGGAAGGCAAGGACAGGACAAGUCCUCAUAGUGCCAUUCCAUCACAGAUGAAGACACUGGAUCAAGGAGGAAGGCUUAAUUAAACCAUAGAUACUUUCACAGCCUCUGGUAAUUAGGAGUACCCAUCCAGUUCUGACUUAUGGGGCCAUAAGGAAGAUGUCUGGGAAUGUUUCCUCCGUGGAUAAAGGACAGAGCUUUCUGAGAGAAGAAAAUCUUUUGCUGUACCCUUGAGUUUUACAUUUAAGCACAGCAUGAGGAUAUGAUGUCUGGUGUUGCAGCAGCCAUAUUGUAGCAGUGAGUCAACAGGCAUGGGAAUAAAAACCAACAUGCUAAGGAUGAUGGCAUGGGAGUGUGAAAAGUGUCUGGGUCUUGAUGAUAUUGAUGAGCCCCUGAAAGAACCCUGGAACCAUCUGCCUCCAGACUACUAGUUGAGUGAGAUAAUAUAUAUUCCUAUGAUUUCAUCACAGAUUUAAAUGCAGUUUCCUGUUACUAGCAGCCAAAAGUGUUCCCCUUUGAUACAAUCUAUUAGAGUUAUAGAAAAAUAUAUUGUUCAAAAGGGAAAAAAGGUAGUAUGGCCACAUUUUUUUUCUGACCAAUCUGAAAAGUUCUUCACUGAAGGAGGAUUUAGUGAAAUGUUUAAGUGAUGGGAAAGUUUAUAGAAGUAAGCCACCUACAUUGAAAAGUUGAUUUAUCUAUCCAGUGAAAAGCAGGUGACUUUUAAUGUUACAGAAUUUAAAUAUGCUUAGAUUGGGCAGUGCUUACAUUUCUUAAUAUUUUUUCUUGUCAUAUUUUUUUUAAAUGUGUAGAUAGUUUGAAUUAGAACAUUUCUUUCCUUCCCUCUUUCCUUCCUUCCUCCCCCCUUCCUCCCUCCCUCCCUCCCUCCCUUCCUUCCUAAUUCACUGGCCUCUUAGGUGCACAUUUAAGUGCAAUAAAUGAUAACACUCAAAGGCAAAAGAGAAUGAAUUCCUAGAGGGCAAGAUUUGCAUACUAGAAAUUAAAAUAAGAACUUUCAAGGUUAAACCUGCCGUUUCUUUGGAGACUGGGAAAUAGAUUAUUUUCUUUUAAAGCAUUUAUAGUAGGAACUGGGCAAUAGAAAACACAUGAGAGAAUUUAAGCAGCACAGCUAAUCAAAAUGAAGAAAAUAAAGAUCAUUUAUAUUCUUUUCACCCAGGGAUACCUAUAGUUAAUGUUGGAGGGUUAGUCUAUUUUUUUUUUUUUUUUUGCCCCUAUUUUUACAUUUACUCUUUUCGUCUUUUCCAUUCCUUCCUCUCCUCCCUUCCUUUAUUCCUCUCUUUUAUAGAUGCUUCCAUUCUUUGCAAAUUAGAUGCUGAUCUCCAGUGGCCUUUUCCUUUCUUGUCAUCAAUGUAUGGGUAGUUUGAUAUUCCUUUUCUCCUUUCUGUGUUUUCACAUCGUGUUGCUGGAUUUAGUUUAUAAACUUCAUGACUGAGCAUUACACCCAUGCCUGAAUCUGGGAUCCGCUUUUUAUAGCAUCACAUCCGGAACCCACAUCAGGUUAACAGGAAUGUGUGUAUACAAGUACACAAAUUGCAAGUGACAAAAUACUGCUAAUCAUUUUGGUUUUACACUUGACCUGAGCAAGGCUGAUUUGUACAGUGCAGCCUCUCUCUGAAGUUCAAGCAAGACCAGCUGACUCUUCCUAACUUCCUGCCCCUACUGUCGAUGUGUUUCUUCAUAUUCUUGGAUGUCAUUGUAUUUUACUCCUUUUCUUUAAAAACAAACAAACAAACAAACAAACAAACAAAAAAACCAACUGUAUGAAGAUUUAAGGCCUAAAGCAAAGUUAACUUACUCUAGAAAGGAUUUUCAAGAGUUUAGGGGCACUACCACACAUGAUCACUUGAUAUACACUACAUUCAUGGCUUGAGGAAUGUGGGACAAUGAAAACGAGAUGUAUGUGAGCACCGCCCAUGGCCGCACCCUCCGGGAACAAAUCCACUCAUUAUUCUCCUAAACUCCAGACCAUUUCUGUUCUAAAGCAACUUAAUUGUCCUUGCAGACCUGUGGAGGGUGGGAAGGGGGGUGGGGUACAACUUACUUCUAAGCAGUCCGAGGCCUGAGGGUAUGGCUCUUUGGGUGAACCAGGAAGGAUCCCUCUUCUUCCGGUGAGCCCGAUGCUUUAUAAUCCCUCCAUUGGUUCCAGGAGGCUCUCAGAAACUGAAAUUGUGUUGAUUCCCAAUUGUUUUCAUCAGGGGAGUUCAUCCAACUAACCUAGCCUGCCAGUGAUAGGAAUGGGUGUGUUUUAAUUAAGAGUGUAAAUUGUUUGGUGUUUGUCCCACGAUUAGCUAUAAUUUUGUUUAUUUGUUUAUUGACUGACUCCCUCACUAGAAAGUGAAUUCCGUUUUAUUGAAUGAUGUUUUCUAUAAUGAUCAUAACACUUCCUAUGUAUGAGGUACAGUUCUGCUUUAUAAAUAUUAACUUAUUUAAUCCUAAAAGCCCUGUGAAAUGGGCACUGUUAUGUUAUUAUUAAGGUAACUAAGACACUAAGAACUUAGGUUACUUGUCCAAGGUCACCCAGCUGGUUGGUAUAAGAGCUAGCAUUUGACCCCAGGGAAAUUGACUUGAGAGUCCAGGGACCUAACUAAUCACUCCGGGGUGUGGCUCUCCAUGAGUGCUAAGACAUGUCAUUAAUGAAUCCUUAGGACAUGGCAUGCUACCUGGAGAUAACAGUUCUUCAGUAUUCUUGAAUAAAUGACCAUCCGAUGCAGAAGUAUAAAUGCUUUGUUAGUUAUAAUAUGACUGGCUUAUAAAAAGAAAUGUGAUGAAAAUGGCAAUGACCUAAAAUUUCAGUCUGUCAUUACAUGUAAUAAUAGCCAGAUUUUAAUUCUGAGAUGCGGGAACAGUAAGUGGACCAAAUUAUCUGAUAGGUUUUUGUGUUUGUUGUUACGAAACUGGAAGGAAUGCUAUCCUGUCUCAGCCCUACGAAGGAGAUACAUUAGGCGGGGAGACGUGGAGGGGGCGGAAUAACGUAAUGGCAGAGGAUGGCUGCUGAGAUUUUAUUCAAUAUUGUAUUUAGGGAAUAAGUGAGUGAUCCAGAGGACACGGCAUCUCGAAACCAGUCUCCACGGCACGUCCUGACUCCGGAAACAAAGGUAAUUCAACUUUAUUGUUUGUUAGGACAUCGUCGAUGGAAAUGAAAAGUCACGUGUUCCCAUCCAAGGUAAUGUUCUCUGGCUGGCCACCUGGUUCCGGGUCAGAGCUGGGGUAAACCAGCUCCUUUAAAAGGCGGCCUCCUAUCUGCAGUUGUUAAUUUCUCGUUUCAAGGGGUGCGUUUGGUUAUGCUCCGUUUACCAGGUUAUAUUUUCUCUUUUGUGUUUGUCAGUGUGUCCGUUUGUUAUGUCACGUAUGUAGAGGUAGAAGGCGGAUAUCUAAUGGGAGGGUAAUAUAAUGCAGGAAGUGAAUCUUUUGGUUUCCCUACCUGCAUCAAGGCCAGUGUCAAACUUACAUAGUUAGAAAUCUCCAAGAAAUAGCUGCUUUUAUCGGUGUUAGUCUGUCAGGGGAGGUCACCAAAGUUUUGGGAGUCAACUCUGCUCGUGUGUAACCACAGGUAAAUCUCACACUGUACAUUCUUUUUUUUUUUUUUUUUUAAAUUAAUGUUUAUUUUUGAGAGAGAGAGAGAGAGAGACAGAGCAGGGGAGGGGCAGAGGGAGAGGGAGACACAGAAUCUGAAGCAGGCUUCAGGCCACCAGCACGGGAGCCCUGCAUGGGGCUCAAACUCACAAACGAUGAGAUCAUGACCUGAGCCCAAGUCAGACGCUUAACCCACUGGGCCACCUGGGCGCCCCUCACACUCUACAUUCUUUUUUUUUUUUUUUUAAUGUUUAUUUAUUUUUGACAGAGCAUGAGCAGGGGAGGGGCAGAGAGAGAGAGGGAGACGCAGAAUCAGAAGCAGGCUCCAGGCUCUGAGCUGUCAGCACAGAGCCUGAAGCGGGGCUCGAGCUCACAGACUGCGAGAUCGUGACUUGAGCCGAAGUUGGACGCUCAACCAACUGAGCCACUCAGGAGCCCCACCCUAUACAUUCUUAAUGAACAUUUAGGUUUAUCUAUUUGAUGUAAUUUCAUUUACAUAGUGGGAGAAAUUGCUUCAGCUGCAGCUAUAAACCUUUUAUAACAAUAGCAAAUUUAAAAUUCUUACUAUGUGCUUUUCACUUUACUGUGAGCUUAUCCAAAAGUGAAUCGUAUUCUUUUCACUUUUUUUAAUGGUAGAAGAACCCUGAGAGAGAUAGCUACUGUAAGUCUGACAGUUUUAUCAUAGAAAGCUGAAGCAAUUUGCUCAAGGUCACAAGACUUUUAAGAGGUGGAGUUAUUUAGAUUUAGUUUUAGUUACUCUGUCCCUAAUACAGUGUUCUUCUCAUGUAGCUAUUUGAAUCUCAUAUUGCCUUUUAAUUAAUCAUUAGAUCAAUAAACAUUUGUUGGUUUCACAACCGUUAUAUCAAAAGAGAUCGUCAUACUUUAAAAAUUCUGAUGAGGUCAGUGUCUUCUCAGUUUCCUCCUUGGAACAAUGCUAAAUCAUAUGUGGCUGUUUAAAUAUUAAAACCCUAUGGAAUCACAGAGCACUCAAAGCUCAAAUUAAUGCUGGGAAUUGUAAUUACAUACAUUUCUUGUGAAAAGACUUGAUGGUUGGUUUGAAUUACAACUGUGUGGCUUUGGGAAAAUUACUUAAUAUCUUUAGGCUCUGGUUUCCUUAAAUGUAAAGUGGGGAUAAUACCACUUCUCUGGGAGGUCGCCAAGAUUAAAGUAGACAAUACAUUUGUCAAAGUCCCUAGCACAGUGCCUGACACAUAAUAGGCACUCAGUAAAUGUUAGUUUCUCCUUGACUAAUUUCUUUCAUUGGCUGUGUGGGAAAAUUAUGCGAACAAACUGUACAAGUCAAUCACUUCCAAGGGCUUUUUGAAAAUAAUGAUAGUCUUAAGAGAGCACUGUCAUUAUUGUUGGUUGGGGCCAGUUUUUUCCCUGCAAGAACAUAAAGUUAAAAUUUACUGGAGAGUAUUUAAUACACAACAAUUUGCUAUGAAUCUGACUUUUCUUCAGGAACACACUUAAUGAUGAAAUCAAAUCAAGCAGAAGUUUUUUUGCAUGCGAUUCAAGAACGCUCUUUAUCCAGUCUGCACUGAAAUUGCAUUACCUGGAGUUAAGGAGGAAGUGUACUCAGUUGAGCUUGGAAGCAAUGUUACCAGAAAAGGAUUAACAAAUCAUAAGACAAAAUCCUUGGAGGUAAGGUCACUAGCAGACUGUGGCUAGGGCGCAAGCCAAGGAAUAGGUUUCCCAUGUGCUGCCCCAUUAGUUCCUGGAAUCUUAAUACAUAACCUGCAUCAGCGAAUGGUGCCCAAAGGAGGGAAGGAACGAGAGCAUCACGUCUCUGCCGUGUCAGACAACAUGGCACUCCUUGUUUUCAAAAGUUAGUUUUUAUUUUAUGAGAGCAAUGUAUGCACACGUAGGUUAGAAAUGUGUAUUAGACUUGCCUCUGAUUUAUCAAUAUUAGACGUUCUCUUUUAAUUACCUACUCCGGUCUUUGAGGAUUUGGUUCUCCUAUACCUUGCCUUCUGCUUCCCCCUCCAGUUUUCCCGCUAGAGUCAUAUUACAGCCUUUGUUCAGUUGACUGCUCCAUGUUUAUAUUGUGCCUGUAUAAAUAUUGUUCAGACUGAGCAUUAUAGGGUGCAGAUCACUAUAUUUGCUUUCUUUUUUCUUUUCCUGAAGUUACUAAUGACCCUCUUCCCCUCUUUCAACUGGUCCCCUUUCGAGUUCUUUCUUACACCUUCCAAUAGCUUCUUGGUACACUUUUCUACAAGUUCAGUCAAACCAACAUAUAUGUGCUCCAUUCCCCCAAGUAUUCCUCCCAGACACUUCCUUCUCCUUCCUUAUGGACUGCUCUCUCUCUCUCUCUCUCUCUGGCCUGCUGCAUAGCUUCUUCCUGGGAAUGCCUUGAGUCGGAUUCUGCAUUUCCUAGAUUUGAGCCUCCCCCUUUCCUGUUGGACAAGGUGCUGCAGCAGAGGGCUGGGUGGUGGCAGUCCCCAGUGUGGCUGUCUCUUUCAUCACACAGUUCCAGUCUGGGCUGUUUAUCCUCCGUGACUUGCACACGGCUAUCCACCUGGGACCUCCUUUUACCCUUAUUCUGGAGAGUUCCUUUGUGCAAAGGAACAAAGUAAACUCUUCCUUAACCAUGGCACUAUAAUUAAUUCAAAAUGGAUCACGGAUUUUAAAUGUAAAACGAUACACUUUUAGAAUAAAAGAUAGAACCUCUGUGAUGUAGGGGUAGGUGAAGGAUUCUCAGACAUGGCUUAAAGCAUGAUCUAUAAAAUAAAAAAUUGCUAAAUUGGACUUCAUCAGAACUAAAAAAACCCCCAAAAAACGCUUUUGUUCUGGAAAAGAUCCUGUUAGGAGGAGCUGAAGACAAACUAUAGACUAGGGGAAAAUAUUUGCAAACCACAUACCUGACAAAGGUUUUACACCUACAAUAUAUAAGAGACUCUCAAAAUUCACCAGUAAACAAAGACAAUUAUAAAAUGAGCAAGAGAUGUGAAUGGAUGUUUCACUCAACUGGAGUUACAGAUGACAGAUGAGCACACGAAAAGAUGUUCAGCAUCAUUAACCAUGAGCGAAAUGCAAAUUAGAACCACAAUGAGAUACCAACAGGUGCUUGCCAGAAUGCUUAAAAUAGAAAAUAAUGGUAACACCAAAUGCUGGUCAGAAUGUGGAGAAAUGGAAUCACUUUUUUUUCUUUUUUUUUGCAUGUUUAUAACAGCUUUAUUGGUAAUAGCCAAAAGAAGGAAGGAAGGAAGGAAGGAAGGAAGGAAGGAAGGAAGGAAGGAAGGAGGGAGGGAGGGAAGGAAGGAAGGAAGGAAGGAAGGAAGGAAGGAAGGAAGGAACGAACAACCCAACUGUCCAUCAGUAGGUAAAUGUAUAGACAGCCUGUGGCCUAUCCUUACUAUAGACUACUGCUUAACAAUAGAAUGAAUUGACCUAUAGACAUGCUACAACUUGGAUGAAUCUGAGAAUAACGAUGCUGAGGGAAAGAAGCCAGACCAAAAAGGAUACAUACCAUAUAUGAUUUCAUUUAUCUAAAACUCUAGGAAAUGCAACAUACUCUACGGGGACAGAGGUAGAGGUGGAUAGGGAGGGAUAUGGGAGAGAGAUUUACAAAGGCCACAAGAAAACGUUUGGCGGUAAUAGAAUGUAAAACGGUUCAGCUUCUCUGGAAAACAGUUCUGUGGUUCCUUAAAAAGCUAAACAUGCAAACAUGAGCCGGCGGUUGCACUCCUGGGCACUUAUCUCGGAGAAGUGAAAACAUGCAUUCACACACAAACCUGUACAUGAGUGUUCAUAUGGCUUUGUUCAUAAUAGCCCCAAACUGGAAACAAUCCAGAUGUCCUUCAUUUGGGUGAAUGGUAAAACCAUGGGAAUGCCAUACCAUGGAAUACGUCUCAGCAGUAAAAAUGGAACCAACUCUUUUUUUUAAUUUUAUUUUUUAAAAUUCACAUCCAAGCAUGUAGUGCGAUAAUGAUUUCAGGAGUAGAAUCCAGUGAUUCAUCCCCUACAUAUAACACCCAGUGCUCAUUCCAACAGGGGUCUUUCUUAAUGCCCCUUGCCCAUUUAGCCCAUCCCCCCCACCCACAACCCCUCCAGCAACCCUCAGUUUGUUCUCCAUAUUUAAGAGUCUCUUUUUUGGGAAUCUACUCCCAAAACCAAAAGCACACUGUAUACACUGUAGCCUAGCUAUCUUGACAAUAGAUUAUAUUUAGAAAAAGAAAAAAAAUAAGAGUCUCUUACGUUUUGUCCCCCUCCCUGUUUUUAUGUUAUUUUUGCUUCCCUUCCCUUAUGUUCAUCUGUUUUGUAUCUUAAAUUCCACAUGUGAGUGAAGUCAUAUGAUAUUUGUCUUUGACUAAUUUGUCUUAGUGUAAUACACUCUGGUUCCAUCCACGUUGUUGCAGAUGACAAGAUUUCAGUCCUUUUGAUCGCUAAUACUCCCAUCAUUCAUAUAUAUACAUAUACAUAUAUACAUACAUAUGUAUGUAUACAGAUAUAUGUAUAUGUAUAUAUAUGAAUGAUGGGAGUAUUAGCGAUAUAUAUGUAUAUAUAUAUACACAUAUAUAUGUAUAUGUAUACAUGUGUAUAUGUAUACAUGUGUAUGUAUACAUAUGUGUAUGUAUAUGUACACACAUACAUGUAUAUAUGUAUACAUAUAUGUACAUACACAUACAUGUAUAUGCAUAUAUGUGUAUACACAUGCAUAUAUGUGUAUAUACAUGUAUGUGUAUAUAUGUGUAUAUACAUGUAUGUGUAUAUAUAUGUGUAUAUAUACACAUAUAUGUAUAUGUAUAUAUGUGUAUGCACACAUAUAUGUAUAUGUAUAUAUGUGUGUAUAUACACACAUAUAUGUAUAUGUAUAUGUGUGUAUAUAUACACACGUGUAUAUGUAUAUGUGUGUAUAUAUACACACGUGUAUAUGUAUAUGUGUGUAUAUAUACACACAUGUGUAUAUGUAUGUGUGUAUAUAUACACACGUGUAUAUGUAUAUGUGUGUAUAUAUACACACAUAUGCAUAUGUAUGUGUGUAUACACACAUGUAUAUGUAUAUGUGUGUAUACACACAUAUGUAUAUGUAUAUGUGUACAUAUACACACACACACACCACAUCUUCUUUAUCCAUUCAUCCAUCAAUGGGCAUUUGGGCUCUUUCCAUACUUUGGCUAUUGUCGAUAGUGCUGCUAUAAACAUGGGGGUGCACGUGCCCCUUCAAAACAGCAUACCUGUAUCCCUUGGAUAAAUACCUAGUAGUGAAAUUGCUGGGUCACAGGGUGGUUCCAUUUUUAAUUUUUUGAGGAACCUCAAAACGGAACUGACUCUUGAUACAUGCAGCUACUUAGAUGUAUCUCCAGAAAGUUGUGCUGAGUGGAAACAGCCAAUGUCAAAAAAAGUUACAUACUGUUUGAUACCAUUUAUAUAACAUUCUCAAAAAUUAUAGAUCUGGAUAUUUGCAGGGGACGUGGAUGGGGAGUGGGGUAGGGGUGGGCAUGGGUACAAAGAGACCAUGGGAAGAAGUUUGUGGUAAUAGAUUGUAUCCUGAUUGUGGUGGUGGUUACCCAAAUCUGUACAUGGGGUAAAAUUGCAUACAACAACAUUCACAUCCAUGCAUAUGUGACUAUGAAUGUAGGCUUAGACACUUGUGGAAACUGAAUAGGGUCUGUAGUCUUUUAACUGGUCAGUUUCCUGGUUUUGGUAAUGUACUACAGUUCUAUAAGAUGUCACCAUUGGGGAAGAAGAGCGAAUGAUACUUUGGACUCUUUAUACUUUCUUCUUAACUUUUAAUUAUUUCAAAAUAAAAAGUUUAAAGUUAAGUUUAAAGAGUUAAACUCCGUCCAGUGGAGUGAAAAGCAGGACUGUCGGGUUGAUGGCUCCUGGGCUCCUUCUCUCUCCUGCAGUGGGAGGGACUUUGCCAUGACUCAAUUUCUCAUGGGACCAGGGGCCUACAAGAAGUCCAAGAUUUGGGCAAGCUGGACCUUGAAUCUAAAAAUUUCAUUCCUCUCCUGCAAGGCCGCUCUCACCUUUUCCCUAUUAAAAGGUGUCUUGUGGGGCGCCUGGGUGGCUCAGUCGGUUAAGCGGCCGACUUCGGCUCAGGUCACGAUCUCGCGGUCGGUCCGUGGGUUCGAGCCCCGCGUCGGGCUCUGGGCUGACGGCUCGGAGCCUGGAGCCCGUUUCCGAUUCUGUGUCUCCCUCCCUUUCUCUGCCCCUCCCCCACUCAUGCUCUGUCUCUCUCUGUCACAAAAAGAAAUAAACGUUAAAAAAAAAAAAUUUUUUUAAAAGGUGUCUUGCCGCUCAGCCUCUUUGGAGUGUUCAUCUAGACCUCUGCUCAAGAUGGCUGUCUACUGAGUACUUGAAGAAGGUGACCCUGUUCCUGCUAAUCCUUCUCACCAUGAGUUCCAGGCCAUUCCAGGUGAGGCAUGGUGGUGUGUGCCCAACCCCUUUGAUCCACCGACCUGAAGGUGGAAAGGGAGGGAACCAGGUGGAUAAUUGGGGCAGAAGGAAGAGCCACUGCCAAGACUCUCCAAGGCAGGAGUGUGCCCAGCGUGUUGGAGUCUGAAAUGCAGUUGAGUGUAGGCGUUAGUAGCCGGAGAGGUGAUCAGAGCACUGACAGGAAUUCAGGUAAGUCACGUACGGAAGCCUCGUGUGCCACUGUGAAGGCUGGAUUUUAUUAUGAGUGAUAUGAGGAAGCAAUGGAAGGUUCUAGGCAGUGUGGGGACCAGAUGUCACUUGUAUUUUCACAGGAUCCCUCUGUUUGCUGUGUUGGGAUCGACUUCUGGGAGCUUGGUGGGGGGCAGGCAAGGGCAGAAAAGGCUGAGUUCUGAGGUGUUUAUGGGUGUGUAAAGCCAACAGGCUUCACUGCUAUUCUCCUGGUAAUGGGCAAGAAAAAUGGAGGAGUCGAGGAUGACGGUGUUAGCCUACUCCUUCGUGCUGCAUGAGCCAGACGCACUGGGUAGACUUUUAAACAAUAGUUAUAGGGUCGUAACCUGUAUUUUCUUUCAUUACUCAAUAUUGAGAACUAUUUCAAAGUCGGCAUACUGUGAACCAUUUCCAAGUUAAUAUAGAAACAUAUUCCUUUUAAUGUUUGGUAUCUAUUAUGUGGCAAUACCAUGAGUCAUUUAAGAAAUCCACUGUUGAUAGGUGUUGUAUUAUUUUUCCGUUUGGUUUUCUGGAACAAAUGGAAUGAUCUGAUAGCCUUGGCCAAUAGAUAAUAAUCUAUCAGGUGAGUCUGCACUUCUGUUCAUUUCCUACAGCUAGAUAGUCUAUUGUAAACUGCCUAAAUAUUUAUUUUCAGAACCUACUUUUUUUCUUCCUGAUUGCCAGAAUAAUACAUCUUUAUUUAAAAAAUAUAUGUUACAGGGGUGCCUGGGUGGCUCAGUCCGUUGGGCGUCCCUUCGGCUCAGGUCAUGAUCUCGCAGUCUGUGAGUUCAAGCCCCACGUCAUGCUCUGCGCUGACAGCUCAGAGCCUGGAGCCUACUUCAGAUUCUGUCUCCCUCUCUCUCUACCCCUCCCCCACUCACACUCUGUCUGUCUCUCUCUCUCCCUCUCAAAAAAAAUAAAAACAUAAAAAUAUAUAUAUAUGUAUAUAUAUAUGUAUAUAUAUAUACAUAUAUAUGUAUAUAUAUAUGUAUAUAUAUAUACAUAUAUAUGUAUAUAUAUAUGUAUAUAUGUAUAUACAUAUAUAUAUGUAUAUAUAUAUAUACAUAUAUAUAUGUGUGUUAAGGAUUUUAAAUGAGACUUUUCUUGUCACCAAGCUUCAAACAAGGCCCCAAAGACUGAGCACAAUAGCUAAUAGCCCGAAGGUGCAGAGAAUGCUAAGAGUAUGACAUUUUUUUGUGACCCUUAGUUUACCGCCCACCUUGGGGGUUAAAUAUGGGGGGGGAUAUAGAGGAUUGAGCAAGACGCUUAAUAGAUUUCUUUUUAGAGAGUUUUUGAGUACUGUAAGAAUGUUCUUUGGUGAAGGAAAGCCUAAGCUUUGUGGGGCGGGGGUGGGGUGGGGUGGGGAUUGGUUCGCAGAACCCCUCUGAGAGCUUUAUGUGUGUCCCCUAGAGUCUGGGGACUUAAAAUUAUUUUCAUGCUAAAGGCAAAAGGAGAGGACUGUGGUGGGGGACUGACUGAGCUGCUAUCAAUGAGUGGAAGACGUACAUGCAUUACUGUGAGCCAAAUGGGACUCCAGGAAGGCUUAGACGUGCAGGGGACCCAAGCCAGGUUGGGUGAUCCCAGCAGCAGAGACGGAUAUUGGGGGAGGGCCGUCCUUUGGAAGCCAGGCCUGUGCAGAGUUUAAUGAAGCCUGUAGGAGGAGGCAGUGGUUUGUGAAGGAAGCACUGGGAGAUCCCCCACUGGAACAGCCAGACAGAAGGAACCCGGGACCCCAGUGAGUAUGAAACUACCAUAUUAGACCCAUAGCUUCCCCCCACCCCCCUGGAGUUUUAAAUGAGCAAGAAAUAAGCUUCUACCUUGUUUAAUCUAUUGUAAUUUGGGUCCUCCACUACUUGUAGCCGAAACCAACCCUAACUACCAAUCCUAUUCAGAUGCUUCCAGAGACAAGAAGAAUAGAGAAUGCAGUGUCACUCUACUUACGAGACAAACUGAAUAAGGACUGUUUAGGCAAAGACAAUUAUAGACGAUUUCCAUGUCACAUGUAAAGCUGGACAUAAGAUUCUACAAAAUCAAAGAGUGAGCUAACGCACCGUUCUUUAAGGCACCAUACUAAAUAGCGUACUGGGUAUGACUAGAUAAAAGUUUUCCGAAAAGUAUAUAGGUAGCCUCAGUGGAAAACACUAUGGAGGGUCCUCAAAAAAUUAAAACUAGGAUUACCCCAUGAUACGGUAAUUCCAUUACUGAGUGUUUAUCCAAAGUAUACAAAAACACUAAUUUGAAAAGAUACAUGCACCCCUGUGUUGAUUGCAGCAUUAGGUAUAAUAGCCAAAUUAUGGAAGCGUCCUAAGUGUCCAUCAACAGAUGAGCGGAUAAAAAAGAUGUGGCAUAUAUACAAAAUGAAGGCAUAAAAAAGAAUGAAAUCUUGCCAUUCGCAACAACAGGGACGGAUCUAGAGGGUAUGAUGUUAUGUGAAAUAAGCCAGUCAGAAAAAGGCAAGAACCAUAUGAUUUCACUCACAUGUGGAAUUUAAGAAACAAAACAAGCAAAGAAGAGACAAAAAACCAGACUCUUAAAUACAGAGAACAGACUGUUACCAGAGGAGAGGUUGAAAGGGCGGGGCGCAUGGGUGAAAUAGGCGAAGGGGAUUAAGAGUACCCUUAUCGUGAUGAGCCCUGAGUAAUGUAUAGAAUUGUGGUUUUUAAAAAAAAAAUUUUUGGUGGGGGGGGGCGCCUGGGUGGCUCAGUCGGUUAAGCAGCCGACUUUGGCUCAGGUCAUGAUCUCGCGGUCCGUGAGUUCGAGCCCCGCGUCGGGCUCUGUGCUGACAGCUCAGAGCCUGGAGCCUGCUUCGGAUUCUGUGUCUCCCUCUCUCUGNNNNNNNNNNNNNNNNNNNNNNNNNNNNNNNNNNNNNNNNNNNNNNNNNNNNNNNNNNNNNNNNNNNNNNNNNNNNNNNNNNNNNNNNNNNNNNNNNNNNNNNNNNNNNNNNNNNNNNNNNNNNNNNNNNNNNNNNNNNNNNNNNNNNNNNNNNNNNNNNNNAGAGAGAGGGAGACACAGAAUCCGAAGCAGGCUCCAGGCUCUGAGCUGUCAGCACAGAGCCCGACGCGGGGCUCGAACUCACGGACCCCGAGAUCAUGACCUGAGCUGAAGUCGAAGUCAACCGACUGAGCCCCCCCCGCCAGGCGCCCCAGAGUAAUGUAGAAUUGUUGAAGGACUAUAUUGUACACAUCAUUCUGAAGUUUUAAAUUCUCUUGAUGCAGUGCAAAUAUGGUAGAUGUGAAAAUUUUAAAGAGCCGAGUGGUGGAGUCAUGGAGUGUUCAUCAGGGCUCUUGGCUGUGGGCAGUAGGUCACGUGCUAGCUGGUUUUAGCAGAAGGGAUCUGUUACAGGGCACUGGGUAGCUUAUUGAGUCUUCGGGAUUAUUUUAUUUGUUGACAGCAUUCAGAGCCAGAGAGGUUGUGAUCGCCUGUGGAUAAAGUAGAGCAAGAAACAGCACUGGUGAGCGUGCCAGGGGAUUUGGACAGGUAUGGAAGGACAAUGGGCAGAGGCAUCGAGCAGGGGAUGGGGGUGUGGUGGGUGGUGUCCCAGCAGCCGAGAAAGAGAGGGGUUUGAGAAGAAAGGGGAGGUCCGCCGGGCCAGCAACUGAGAAGCCAAGUAAGCGGAGACCUGAAGCCGCAGGACGGUCGGCGGGGCUCCAGGGGGAGCACUCGGGGGCAGCAGCAGCCGUAGCUGACCGAGUGGUGGAAAGGUGUGUGAUGGCACCCCCACACCUGCUCCCACGCCAUCUGGCCUCAGCGAUAACCCUGUGAGGUUGGCGGGCCAAGCAGGCAGGCAUUAGUUUUCACGUUUCAAAGGGGAGAAACCUGAGGCUCAGAAAUGUGAAAAGCCUUGAUCUGUGACCGAGCCCGGUCUUGUGGCUCUAAAUCCAGGGCUCUUGCAGGGCUACCGUGCUGCCUUCCCACCACAUCCCACCACGGGCCGGGUGUGGCUUGGCUUUAAAAACCCACGGGGCAGUAAAUGGGUAAAACUCCUUAACUCUAAUUCGCUAGGCAGCAGUAAGUGGUGAUGCCUGAUAGCAUAGAUGAAAGAAUACCGAUGGUCUAAGCAUUUUUGUAAGAGUUUCCCUAAGCUCUUGAGUUUCUAGACAAACAUUUGUAUCCCUACUCUGAACCCCAAUUACUGUAUUGAAUGCUGUAUAUAGAUUAUCUUAAGCCUCAUAAACUUCAUGGAAGAGGUACUGAUAUUAGGUCAUUAUAAUGACAAGGAAAACAGGCUUGAUCAGUAAAAUAACUUUCCCUGAGUUACACUCUCAGAAAGUGGUAACGCUUGGAUGUAACCACGGGGGGCAUGGGGAUCCAGCACCUGACCUUCUUCUAGUCUACACUGUACUCAAUCCUAGCCCAAUAGAGCUAUCACUUGCUGUGUAACCCACAAUUGAGUUAGAGACUUAGAUCUUCAGAUUCUCCAAACUGAAUUAUUUUGAUGCUUAAUCAUUCGUACCAGAAAGAAGAAAGACUAUGGUAAAAACUAGGUGAGUUAAGGAUAAUUGGCAAGCUUCACUAAUUAAAAGUUUCAGAUAUUAGGCAGAGCUCCAAAUGGUGGACAGAAGCCCAUCAAAAUGCAUUUGCAGAUUCUUCUGCUUCUGGAGUUACCCCUUCCUCCAUUGCACCAAAAUAUUAUAGGACAUUUGAGGAUUUGUGGAAGGAUUCUGCCACUAAUUUCAAAAAGGUUGGAGUGCCUGUUGUAUGCAAGGCACCGUGCCAGUUGGGGGCUGGAGUAGAGUGGUGAGCAAAGUUGACCAGAUUUCUGCCCUCAGGAAUCUUUCAGUUCAGAUAAUAUUUUAUUAGAGAUAGAGUUGGUUCAAUGGUUACGGGGGUGAGGCUCGGAGGGACCUUGGUCUAUGGGUGUGGAAAGUCCUCUGGAGCCUCGUGGACUUUGGGGUCUUACAAGUCUUUCCUUGAGGGGCUGUUUGGCCUGCAUCUCGGAUUCUUGCAGCCCCAUGUUGCCCCUGAUAGGAAUGUUCCACUCCAUCCCAUGCCUCCACAUCCUUUAGCCCUGCCAGUUAAUGAACUAACGUGAGCUUGCCCCGCCUGGCAGGGGAUUGGUUUUGGAACCAUGGUCCUGUGUACGGUAAUUAACAUUUGUACAUUGCCAUACAGUUUAUAGUGAGCCUUCUGUUUUCACAUUCAGGAUCUCAGUGGAUCUUUAGAACCACUCUGAUAGGGAGGGGAGAGCAGAUACUAUGUUAUUAUGCCCAUUUUCAGUUUAGGGAACUAGAACAAAACCAGGAUUGUACCCAUUUUACAAAUUAGGAUGUAGGAAAAAAACAAAACAAAACAAGUUUCAUGCUUGGUAACUGGAGUGACCAAAAAUCUGUUCCAGUAACACUCGCUUAAUUCUUUAUGAAGAUUUUGAAGUAUAUAAUUUUUCAGGAAAGUAUGUUAAGGUAAUAAUUUUUUUGGCGACAAUGAAAAAAUGUACUCCCAUAGAUGAUUUAUCAUACAUAGGACGUGCACAAGCCCAUGGAAAGAGAACUUGGUCUGUUUUUCUGACUGUAGGUGUUAUUUUCAUUCUUCACCCCCAUUCGCUCCGUAAGGUUCAGCAAGUUGCCUUUCAUCGCAUUGUCCCGUUGAAAAGUCUUCUGUUAAGUUACCGGGGACUCCUUAGUUGCCAUAUCCAAAGGGGAUUCAUUAACUUAUCUUGGAACAGCAUUUGACCCUGAAGGCCUCUCUGUCCCUGACGUUCUGUCUUUCCCUUUCAUCUUAGGCUCCGACCCUCACCUUCCUCUUCUGGCCAUUCCUGACCAUCCUGGCAAUGUUCUCUAGUUCUGCCUGCCCCUUGGAUUUUGUUCUUAGUCAGGACCUACUAUUGGUUCUCUUUGCUUCAACUGGCCAUGCAAUCUGACCAGGUCAUAUCUACCAGCUCAUCCCCCUUUCUUGAACUCCAAAACCACCUGUUCAACUGCCUACUGGACAUUUCCACAUGGGUGAACUAUUAGCAUCAUAAUGCAUUCUGCAAACUGAGCCCAUGAUUUUCCCCUGCUGAACCUGCUCCCUUUCUCAUAUUCUCGUAUCUUCCUUAAAUAUUCAUUUAGUUGCAAAAACCAGACAUGGAGGGUAACAGUUGUGACACUUUCCUUCCUUUCAAUUCUGGCAUCAAAUCAGUGGGUCCUAACAACCUCUUAAAUCUCUCUCCUAUCCCUGACUCUUCUCCAUCCCUCCUCUGGGGAGCCAAGCCACACGGGCAAUGCCUCUGUUUCCUGAUUAGCUCCCAUAUUCCUAGUCUUAAUGUCUUCUGGUCUUUCUUGCGUCCCUAGACAGACUUUUCUGAGUUUGGCUUAUGCUUGGCUUGCAAGGUUCCUUGUUUCCUGGCACAGUCCUGCUUGUUUAAUCUCACUCCCCUCCUCUUCCUUCACACUUAGUGUUCUGGUUAAAUCCAAAUCUGCAGUUCUCUAAAUUUCCUGUGCUUCCACAUAUUUAUGGCUGGUAUCUGCUCUUUUCUCUGUCUGGGGAAGCUAGGGGAGGUCUCAGGCAGGGGAGCCUGCGUGGAGACUUGCAGGCUGUGCAGGAGGGUGCCUGAUUGGCCAAGUGGGAUCCUCGACUCCCAAUCUCAGGGAGUUUGUAUUUCAAUGGAGACAGACAUACACACAGUCGAGGUAUUUUGUGAUGCCUGCUGGAUGAGCACUUUGUACAAACUGCAGGAAGGCAGUGAAGGAGGUCUGUGGGUAUGACAACAUCUUUUCAACUCAACUUAGAAAAGCAAAAUGACGCCAGCUCAUUUGCAUUUACAGAAUAACUAAGCAACUCCUCCAAUGCACAGGGUUGAAUGUGGUACCUUGUGUGUAGCAAAAAAAUCUAAGUGGGACAAAGAAAUGGAUUAGGACAUUGUGGAACAAACCUGAACACAAGGGAGAGAGUCUUUCUGAACUGCACUCUGAGACCCUCUUUAUUUUACUACAUUAAAACAGACUUCACUUGCCUGCUCCUCUCUUUCCUGAAUGUUGGUGCUCCACAGAACUCCGAAUGGGGACUGUCACCUAUUUCUCUGUUCUUUAUCCUUGAGUACUUUCAUUCACUCCCACGGUUUCAGUUGUCACCUCCCAGAUCCGUGUCUCUAGCUGGGAUCUGUCCCUGUCAUUGCCAGUGAAACAUCUCUGCUUGGAAAUUUCACAGUGAUCUCUAUUUCACCAUGUCCAAAGUAGACCUCGCCAUCUUCCCUAUUCUUUCCCCACCCCUCCUGUAGACCUCCAGCUCCUCUGUGCUCUUUUCUGUAAAUCCUGUCCGGUUGUCAAAUUCAGCCCCCUGAGAAUCAUCCUCGAUUCUGUAAUCCAACCUGUAACCAAACCUUUUCAACUCUGCCUCCUCAAGAUGACUAUUCUAGCUGUCUCUGCCUUUCUACCACCGAUGCAGGCUACAUCACCGCAGUCCUGCAUGACAAGGAGAGCAUCUAACGACAUCAACCUUCACUUCCCCAGUCUGCCCACGUGUUCUCCGAUGGAUCCACGGUCAGGUAAGUGAUCUUUUAAAAAUGUAAACUAGAUUCUGUCAUCUGUCCCUUACAACCCAUUAAUGCCGAUGCAGUGGGGCGCUCUGGACCAUAUCCCAGGACAGGAAAAGGAUAUUGGUGGAAACCCCACGAAAUGUGAAUAAAGUCUGGAGUUAAUAGUAAUGUGCCAGUGUCGGUUUCUUAGUUUUGAUUAAUGGACGGUGGUUACAUAAGACGUUAACAUUAGGGGAAAGUGGGUCAGGAGUACACAGGCACUCUCUGUAGUACCUCUGCAACUUUUCUGUAAAUGUAAAAGUAUUCCAAAAUUAAGUUUAUUAAAAAAAAAAAAAAUGAGUGGCACCGAUUUCCCUGAGGUCAGAGUACCAAAUCUUCAACAUGACCAGCUUUCUCUCUCUAGCCAGACUAAACUUAUUUAAUUCUUCCAGUGAGAUAAGCCUCUUCCCUGCCUCCAGGUAUUCACAGUGUCUGGCCCAUUAAUAAAUGCUUGAUAAAUAUUUGUUGAAAAUUAAUGAACAUUUUUAAAACCAGAGUUGGGUUUUUAGUAGGAAUCAGGACAGCCUAGGCAAUGCUUGAACUGUGUGGUAUGCAACUGCCCUAUGCUGUCCUCUCCUCCCUGUCUCUGCCCUCCAGACUGCUAUCCUUGAAAUUCAGCACCGGCCCCCUCCCAGUUCUGGAGACCAGGUGCCCAUUUAUGUUAAUGGGAGAAAGAAAAGGGGUCUUCUCCCCUCCUGAGAACUAUCUUCUUCCACCCACUCUGCCCCUGUCGCGCCUCCCACAACCCACUUGUAGACAGCAGUGGGUUUCUGGAAACAGUGCUGCCUCUUCUCAGGUGAUCACUACUA